UGUUACUCAAGCAGGCAGGUCCUGGGUAGAUCCCAGGGAGGUGGGUUGGUGAGGGAUAAAGAGCUCCUGAGCGGUCAGCAGUUGGCUGCAGUUCCCCAGGAAACAGCUUCCGGCAGACACUCAAUCUCCAGUUGUAACAGGUGGUGUGGAGUCCGCUGGCCCAGAAAGUGGGCUGAAGGCCUGGUCCUCCCAAUGAACUUGCUGUAUAAACUUUUCUGUCUAUCAAAUGAGGCAUCUUGGAGGGAGGUCAUCACCUCAGAGGUGGAGAAAUGUCAAGCUAGUUGAACAACAAGCACCAAAGAUUUUGAGGAGUGCAGAGCAAAGAGCCUUGGGCUGAGAGCUUGAGUCCUGACUGUUUCAGUGAGACCAGCAAGUACCUUCUCUCUCCAGCUUCUCCAUUUCCACUUCUGCAAACUCUGGACUCCAAGGACCCAAGAUGGCUGGAAACAAGAUGGCGGAGCACGAAGGCCCUUGCCAGAUGCCAGCACUAUGCCCUUGGACUCCCCAGCCUCCAUAACCA